GAUAAGAUUUUUAAUCGUUUUCGCGUCAUGUGUCAUUAUCCGAAAAGACAAUUAUUGGUGAUGGAUUUCGAUAAGAUUUUGAAACCAUCAAACCACCAUCAACACAUCAGCACGAACUUCUGACACACAGCAGAGCAACACACUUGAAUGCCUUUCUUAAUUUUUGCUGCACUUCUGUAGUCCAUGGCUUUACGAAACGGUGUGGUGCAGAGGGGUGCCGUGAAGCUGGAUCACCCGAUUAAUUUCAUAACGUCAUCGUUCAAGUCCCGACUCCCUCCUUCUCAAUCUCCCAGAUUCGCCUUGCGCCGGAGUAGCCCCGUGCUAUUUGGCUCCCGAGCUUCAAAGGACGACGGAGGUUAGUUUUUGUUUCCCCAAAU
rnacentral:lncRNA from 1 species